GACGAACGCUGGCGGCGUGCUUAACACAUGCAAGUCGAACGGUAAGGCCCUGCUUUUGUGGGGUGCUCGAGUGGCAAACGGGUGAGUAACACGUGAAUAACCUGCCCUUGACUUUGGUAUAACUUCAGAAAACUGGGGCUAAUCCCGGAUAGGCGCUCCUGCUGCAUGGUGGGGGUUGGAAAGUUUCGGCGGUUGGGGAUGGACUCGCGGCUUAUCAGCUUGUUGGUGGGGUAGUGGCUUACCAAGGCUUUGACGGGUAGCCGGCCUGAGAGGGUGACCGGCCACAUUGGGACUGAGAUACGGCCCAGACUCCUACGGGAGGCAGCAGUGGGGAAUAUUGCACAAUGGGCGGAAGCCUGAUGCAGCAACGCCGCGUGCGGGAUGACGGCCUUCGGGUUGUAAACCGCUUUCGCCUGUGACGAAGCGUGAGUGACGGUAAUGGGUAAAGAAGCACCGGCUAACUACGUG
rnacentral:rRNA from 1 species